rnacentral:lncRNA from 1 species
AAUGUUUUUGUGAACGUUUAUUUUUUUGAUAAAGUUCUUUGCUUUUAUUUUUUAAUUUUUCAUUUGGAAAGCCGGAAAAUGUGAUGGUUAUUAUUAUCCGAUUAUGUCAAUUUGUCUUAGUUUAAUCUGCUGCUGAUCCUUGGGUGAUAUUCUAUUUUGCUUUUAAAUUCAAAUAUAAUCUUCUUUUACAUAUAACUUAUAAAUUGUAAUUUAUUGUAUCCCAUGUAACUGUUGUGGUAAUAGUCUUAUUAUUUUCAUUUAUAUAAUGUUUUAAUUUUUAAAUCUUGUAACUUCAAAUAAUAUAAUUUGGUACAUAUGUGAUUCAAUGGAAUCAUAUGAUAAAAGUAGCUAUUAGUGCAAUUUAAUAGGAGAGAUGAAUAUAUUGUGUUUACAAGUUUUAUUCCAUACUUUCGAUGGGUUUUUCCAAAUAACUAUGGGGAGACAUCCUAUAGUUGUUCCAUAGGAACAGAACUAUGUAGACAUACUUUUGAAUGAUCUCUUAUUGGGCCAGUUGUGUAUGCUGAGCAGGGAGUUAUGAAAGCAAUUAAUGUGAACAAACUGACUUCUGCUGGCUGCAAAGUUAAAAUUUGGAUCGCAGAUUGAUUUGCACAGUUAAAUAAUAAAAUGGGGGUGACUUGAAGAAAAUCCAAGUAAUAAGACAGUAUCUGAUUGAGAUUUGGAAAGUUGUAGGGGUGAAUUUAAAAGGAGGUCAGGUGGAAUUUCUUUGGUCUUUCGAAGAGAUCAACACCAGGGCUCAUGAAUACUGGCCUCUUGUAUUGGACAUUGCUAGGAGGAAUAAAUUUCCUAGAAUAUUGAGGUAUACAGUUAUUUAC